CGAGGAAUAUUGCACAAUGGGCGAAAGCCUGAUGCAGCAACGCCGCGUGAGGGACGAAGGCCUUCGGGUCGUAAACCUCUUUUCUGGGGGACGAGUAAGGACGGUACUCCAGGAAUAAGUCUCGGCUAACUACGUGCCAGCAGCCGCGGUAAAACGUAGGAGGCGAGCGUUAUCCGGAUUUACUGGGCGUAAAGCGUACGCAGGUGGCUUCGUUAGUCGGACAUGAAAGCUCCUGGCUUAACUGGGAGAGGUUGUUCGAUACUGCG
rnacentral:rRNA from 1 species